rnacentral:rRNA from 1 species
CGGGUGGCAGCAGUAGGGAAUAUUGGUCAAUGGGCGCAAGCCUGAACCAGCCAUGCCGCGUGCAGGAUGACGGCCCUAUGGGUUGUAAACUGCUUUUGUACGGGAAGAAACCCCACUACGUGUAGUGGGUUGACGGUACCGUGAGAAUAAGGAUCGGCUAACUUCGUGCCAGCAGCCGCGGUAAUACGAAGGAUCCUAGCGUUGUCCGGAUUUACUGGGUUUAAAGGGAGCGUAGGCGGACUUUUAAGUCAGUGGUGAAAGCCUGCAGCUUAACUGUAGAAUUGCCAUUGAAACUGAUUGUCUCGAGUGUGGUUGAGGUCACUGGAAUGUAUCAUGUAGCGGUGAAAUGCUUAGAUAUGAUACAGAACACCAAUUGCGAAGGCAGGUGACUAAGCCAUUACUGACGCUGAUGCUCGAAAGCGUGGGGAUCAAACAGGAUUAGAUACCCGAGU